CCUACGGGAGGCAGCAGUGGGGAAUAUUGGGCAAUGGGGGAAACCCUGAUCCAGCGACGCCGCGUGAGUGAAGAAGUAUUUCGGUAUGUAAAGCUCUGUCAGCAGGGAAGAAAGGAAUGACGGUACCUGACUAAGAAGCCCAGGCUAACUACAUACCAGCAGCCGCGGUACUACGUAGGGGGCAAGCGUUAUCCGGUUUUACUGGGUGUAAAGGGAGCGUAGACGGCGAUGAAAGUCUGAAGUGAAAGGCGGGGGCUCAACGCACGGACUGCUUUGGAAACUGUAUGGCUGGAGUGCAGGAGAGGUAAGUGGAAUUCCUGGUGUAGCGGUGAAAUGCGUAGAUAUCAGGAGGAACAUCGGUGGCGAAGGCGGCCUGCUGGACUGCAACUGACGCUGAGGACCGAAAGCGUGGGGAGCAAACAGGAUUAGAUACCCUAGUAGUC
rnacentral:rRNA from 1 species